rnacentral:rRNA from 1 species
GACAGAGGAUGCAAGCGUUAUCCGGAAUGAUUGGGCGUAAAGCGUCUGUAGGUGGCUUUUCAAGUCCGCCGUCAAAUCCCAGGGCUCAACCCUGGACAGGCGGUGGAAACUACCAAGCUGGAGUACGGUAGGGGCAGAGGGAAUUUCCGGUGGAGCGGUGAAAUUCGUAGAUAUCGGGAGGAACACCAGUGGCGAAGGGCGGCGACCUGGGCAGGAUACUGACGCUGAGGUGCGAAAAGCGUGGGGAGCAAACAGG